rnacentral:rRNA from 1 species
UUCGAAUCAUUCACAAUGGGCGAAAGCCUGAUGGUGCGACGCCGCGUGAGGGAUGAAGGCCUUCGGGUUGUAAACCUCUGUCACCGGGGAAGAAACGCUUCAAGUUAACAGUUUGAAGCCUGACUUAACCCGGAGAGGAAGCAGUGGCUAACUCUGUGCCAGCAGCCGCGGUAAUACAGAGACUGCAAGCGUUAUUCGGAUUCACUGGGCGUAAAGGGUGCGCAGGCGGCCGUGUGUGUGAGGCGUGAAAGCCCGAUGCUUAACAUCGGAAUUGCACCUCAAACUACAUGGCUAGAGCAUUGGAGAGGGUAGCAGAAUUCAUGGUGUAGCAGUGAAAUGCGUAGAUAUCAUGAGGAAUACCAGAGGCGAAGGCGGCUACCUGGACAAUUGCUGACGCUCAGGCACGAAAGCGUGGGGAGCAA